UAGAAAUACGCUCCUUUGAGUGUUUUUAGAUACGCAUGAAGAAAGUCUGUCCAAAGAAUUGUUCUUCAUGCUUUUAUUAUACCA
rnacentral:antisense_RNA from 1 species